rnacentral:rRNA from 1 species
GACGAACGCUGGCGGCGUGCUUAACACAUGCAAGUCGAACGGAAAGGCCCUGCUUUGUGGGGUGCUCGAGUGGCGAACGGGUGAGUAACACGUGAGUAACCUGCCCUUGACCUUGGGAUAACUUCAGGAAACUGGGGCUAAUACCGGAUAGGAGCUCCUGCUGCAUGGUGGGGGUUGGAAAGUUUCGGCGGUUGGGGAUGGACUCGCGGCUUAUCAGCUUGUUGGUGGGGUAGUGGCUUACCAAGGCUUUGACGGGUAGCCGGCCUGAGAGGGUGACCGGCCACAUUGGGACUGAGAUACGGCCCAGACUCCUACGGGAGGCAGCAGUGGGGAAUAUUGCACAAUGGGCGGAAGCCUGAUGCAGCAACGCCGCGUGCGGGAUGACGGCCUUCGGGUUGUAAACCGCUUUCGCCUGUGACGAAGCGUGAGUGACGGUAAUGGGUAAAGAAGCACCGGCUAACUACGUG